CAAAAUGAUACAUUUAUUUAUUGAAAGUUUUUUUUUGUUUUUUUUCUUUUUAUACAAAAGGAUUAUUCUGGUUACUCGUAUGUACACAGUACUGUGUUUUACUCCACAAACGUCUCCCGGGAAAACCCAGAAAAUUCCAAUAAAAAUAAACCGCACACAAGCACAACAAAAAAAAAAGAGAAAAUCUGAAUAAUAAGUGAGAAGCCGGAGGAGUGAAGCCACCUCACAACAUCACGUCUCCCCUGAGAUCUGCAGCAGCAAAAACAACGCUCCCCUUCCUGAAGUGGGGUCUAACCCUGAUCCCUAUUGGGGUUUAACCCUGAUCCCUAUGUUCUGGAGAUGGGGCUGCUGACUCUACUUCUAAUCAAUGUGUGACCUCCUCGUACUAGGCUUCAUCUCAUUGUCAGACCUUUCCCCACCGUGUGGUGCUACAUCCACUCCGCUCUCCGGUGUAGAGACCCCGAGAACAGCAACCGAUGUAAAGGAAAAGCAAAGCUCCCGGUCAGCUUCACCCCACAGACCCGCCAUGAGGGGUAAAGCACCAUCCAUGUAAUGACCACUGGGAGCCAUGUAUAAAAAAAAACAGUGGCCAAGCAGAUACUGGCAUGGAGAACGUGCUGGGUCAGGCUCUUCACACCUGACCCCCAGGCUGUCCAUGGGCUGCAAUUCUGUGAAUGACCUGAGUUUAAUGCAUUCAUAACCAGAAGUCCCCAAAUAAAGGGCAAUGGCUUUAAAUGACCAGACACUAAACUGGGCAGAGUCCAGGGGCCCGUGCCGCACAGAGUAGAACCCAGAACCUCUAACUACACUCGUAUCAUCCGGCUCCUGAAGAUCACAUAUACAGUGGUUUCAUCUACUCCACAUGGAGCUACUCUAGGGACGUGAACGACCCCGACCCGUUGCCUUCUCCUCCAAUAGCUGGAGGUCCGACUGCUGCCCUCUGAUGUUGGGGCUCACUCAUCUGACGGUCAGUGCAGACAAGGAACCGUGCCGUUUGUGUCUGUGGCCACUAACUUCAGCUCUCAUUAUUCAGAGGCUGUUAGAAAGCAUGGCUGCUGGCUUCGGUGUUCAGCGUGUGGUCAGGAGGCAAUGUCUUGCGUCGUCCCCACUAACCACGCAGUCUCGGGGCUCUCCCGCAUUCUGGCUGCAAGAAGCCACACGGCUUUACAACUCACUUAUGGGCACAAAAAUAAAGCACUGGUCUUCUACAGAAUCAUACUGACAUAACGUCGUCUGUCUCUGCCUGGCCUUCUACAGAAUCAUACUGACAUAACGCCGUCUGUCUCUGCCUGGUCUUCUACAGAAUCAUACUGACAUAACGCCGUCUGUCUCUGCCUGGCCUUCUACAGAAUCAUACUGACAUAACGCCGUCUGUCUCUGCCUGGUCUUCUACAGAAUCAUACUGACAUAACGUCGUCUGUCUCUGCCUGGCCUUCUACAGAAUCAUACUGACAUAACGCCGUCUGUCUCUGCCUGGUCUUCUACAGAAUCAUACUGACAUACCGGCGUCUGUCUCUGCCUGGCCUUCUACAGAAUCAUACUGACAUAACGUCGUCUGUCUCUGCCUGGCCUUCUACAGAAUCAUACUGACAUAACGCCGUCUGUCUCUGCCUGGUCUUCUACAGAAUCAUACUGACAUAACGUCGUCUGUCUCUGCCUGGCCUUCUACAGAAUCAUACUGACAUAACGCCGUCUGUCUCUGCCUGGUCUUCUACAGAAUCAUACUGACAUAACGCCGUCUGUCUCUGCCUGGUCUUCUACAGAAUCAUACUGACAUAACGUCGUCUGUCUCUGCCUGGUCUUCUACAGAAUCAUACUGACAUAACGCCGUCUGUCUCUGCCUGGUCUUCUACAGAAUCAUACUGACAUAACGUCGUCUGUCUCUGCCUGGCCUUCUACAGAAUCAUACUGACAUACCGGCGUCUGUCUCUGCCUGGCCUUCUACAGAAUCAUACUGACAUACCGGCGUCUGUCUCUGCCUGGUCUUCUACAGAAUCAUACUGACAUACCGGCGUCUGUCUCUGCCUGGUCUUCUACAGAAUCAUACUGACAUAACGCCGUCUGUCUCUGCCUGGUCUUCUACAGAAUCAUACUGACAUAACGCCGUCUGUCUCUGCCUGGCCUUCUACAGAAUCAUACUGACAUAACGCCGUCUGUCUCUGCCUGGUCUUCUACAGAAUCAUACUGACAUAACGUCGUCUGUCUCUGCCUGGCCUUCUACAGAAUCAUACUGACAUAACGCCGUCUGUCUCUGCCUGGUCUUCUACAGAAUCAUACUGACAUACCGGCGUCUGUCUCUGCCUGGCCUUCUACAGAAUCAUACUGACAUAACGUCGUCUGUCUCUGCCUGGCCUUCUAC